UAGAGGUAUAAAAAUAUCGGUAUCUGGUGUUAUUUACACUUAGAAUACAGUAAUUACGUGGUCUAGAAUAACGAUUGAAAACGACGAUACUCUCGUCCCCCAUAGGGAAUGACGAUUCAGGCUAACAUUAUUUUAGCACGUCAAAUCUGUUCAUGUUUGACCCUGUAGCUUAGUUGUCAGGCAUAAUUCGCCGUUUUUAUAUCAUAGCGAUACAUGUGAUUUUGUUUGAAGUAGCCCAACAUUUAUUUGCUAGCUGGAAAUAAUUAAGGAAAGUCUUCAAGAGUUGCUAAUAGUAUGGUUUUGUCUUUUUUUUUUUUUUACAGUGAGCGGAGCGGACAACUGAUCCGAGGAGCACAGGCAUACAAGUAUGUCCAUCCUAAACUACUGUUAACAUCCUUCGACGGAUUCUCUGUUCAUUCUGGCUGAUGUCACUGGCAGACAUCGAGGGGGAAGAGAGUCUUCCAGACACACCCAGAAUCAUUAUGCUUGAAGCGCAUUUUGGAGGUCACACACUGAUGUUGGACGAGGCGACUGGCUCUCAGGAUCCGCUCUAAUUCAUCCCAAAGGUGUUCUAUUGAGUUGAGGUCAGGACCCUGUGCAGGCCAGUCAAGUUCAUCCAGACCAAACUCUGUUAUCCAUGCCUUUAUGGACCUUGCUUUGUGCACUGGUGCACUGUCAUGUUGGAACAGGAAGGGGCCAUCCCCGAGCUGGGCUUGGUCCCUUAGUUCCAGUGAAAGGAACUUUGAAUGCUUUAGCAUUAACCAAGAGAUUUUGGACAAUUCCAAGCUCCCAACUUUGUGAGAAGUGUGUGUGUGUGUGUGUUUGUGUGUGUGUGUGUGGCAGCCAGAGCCAUAGAGGGAUGGUGUUCUCUACCUCUUGUGA